UGUGAAUUUAAAUUUAAUCACUUACCUACAAUGCACCACAUAUGUUCCUAUACAUCUGUAUAUUUUAACUAGUUGUACUAUGCAAAUGCAGUAAACAGGGCUUUACAAAAGAGCACAAGUUCCUUAUAUGCCUUUUUUGGGUAACUAACUGCUGCAUCCUGUGGUAGUCAUAGAAGUGGAAGUUAUGCGGUUUCAAACUGAGCACUCGCUGUCCUGAGGAAGGAACACACAUUUGACUAGACCUUAUCUUCUGUAAAGAUGUGCUGCACAUCAAUUCAUCUCCUCAUUGGUGCCUUACUUGUCUUUGCUAUUGAAAAUGUGGCCACAGCCAGGGAAAACAGCACAGAAAAUAACACAGCUCCAGUUUCAGUGCCUUCAUACACCACCACCCAAUUCAAAGAAACAGACUUUACCAUUCCAAACGUCACUGUUACCCUGCCAAACAAGACGGCUGUGAAUACCACAUCAGCAUCAGAAUUGCCUACUCCACCUCCCCCAGAACGUCCGCAGACCAACAAUUUCACCACAGGCGAUUCUCUGAAGACCAUUGCACAAUCAAGCACAAUUAAUAUGAUCAAAAGCACAACUAUUAGCAAAGCAACUAUAACUACAGCAGUAAAAACUACAGUUUCGACAACAACGCAAUCGGGGACAAAAACUUUUAUAGUUAUCUUUAUUAUUGCCAUUCUGUGCCUUGCUGGGGUAUUAGUUUAUUGUUGCCUUAAAAAGAAAUCUAGGAAGUACUCUGUGGACUUACAUCCCAAACACGAAGAUGCUCAGAUCCCACUCAGCACAGUGGAUGCAGAGGUGUUUGACACCACAUCAGUCAAAGAUAUGCAAACGUUCACUCCUGUCGAGUCCACCGAGCCGCUUAAGGACCCUGCGCCUGAAUCUGAGAAGCCUGAGGGAGAGAAAGAAUCAGCUGAUGUUAAACAAGAAAACCAACAGAAUUUAUCCAGCACUCAGGCCACAGAGAACCCAAAGGAUAAAAUGGAGGGGCUGACCGUAGUGGAUCUGACUGAUGGAGAACCGACGAUCUCCACCAAAACCUCAAUGGAAUCCCUAGAUGAUGUUCUCAAUGAAAACAACAGCAACAAUACAAGAGAUCUCUGAACCUGACUGAUGGAUUGUACUGGAACUGGAAGUAACAGCUGAACUAAAUUCAUUGUUAGAACAACCUUGUUUUUGAAUAUACAUACAGCACUAAGAAAAGUCUCUGUAUACAUUUUCACUAGUCUUUACUCAUAUUUUAAAUGUCAUUGUGUGUUUUAUGGUUAAAAGGAAAUAUACAUAAACUUAAUGGAGUGCAACUUAAUGGAGAAACUUCUGCAGAUUUUUGUUCCUACAUUGUAUUUCAAUUAGCAUACUAUUACCUGUUAUGUUAGAUUUUAAUAUUGUAACUUGUUAAUUAUAAUUUUGUAAAUGUUCAACCAGCUUUUUAUUGUUGUUGGCUGUAUGUGUAAAUGAACAAUGUGUACUUUUUCCAUGUUAUUGCAGUAACCACAAAAUUAACUUGUCAGGUGUAUGUUCUGUCUGUAUUACUGUAAUAAAGCAAGUUUACUGUAGGAAAACUGUAUUAGAAACUGCUUUAAGUACCAAGCAGAUGCCAGCAUAGAUGCUUCCUUGACAAGCCUGUAAUAAAAGUUUUAUUUCUGGUUUGAAGUAGUUAAGAUUGCAUUUAUGAGUUGCCUCCUCCUACAAACUUUGAUACCAGAAUACAGACUAUCAGCUGUUUCGUGACAGUUGAAAGAACUUCAUACUCAACGAUAUUACAAUAAAUUAUAAUAAAAUGUUUUACUCAUCUAUAAUGUGUUGUCUCCGACAAAGUGUCUUAAUUUAAAUUUUACUAAACUUUUAUAUUGCCUCCAGUGGCAAAUUUCCAGAUAUUAAGUCAUGUUCUGGCCGCCCAUUUUACUUAUUACUACAGCUACAGUUCAACAGUAACCACAAAAUUAACUUGUCAGGUGUAUGUUCUGUCUGUAUUACUGUAAUAAAGCAAGUUUACUGUAGGAAAACUGUAUUAGAAACUGCUUUAAGUACCAAGCAGAUGCCAGCAUAGAUGCUUCCUUGACAAGCCUGUAAUAAAAGUUUUAUUUCUGGUUUGAAGUAGUUAAGAUUGCAUUUAUGAGUUGCCUCCUCCUACAAACUUUGAUACCAGAAUACAGACUAUCAGCUGUUUCGUGACAGUUGAAAGAACUUCAUACUCAACGAUAUUACAAUAAAUUAUAAUAAAAUGUUUUACUCAUCUAUAAUGUGUUGUCUCCGACAAAGUGUCUUAAUUUAAAUUUUACUAAACUUUUUAUAUUGCCUCCAGUGGCAAAUUUCCAGGUGCAUACUGGAACACCACAAACCAUGUGUGCUGUGUGAUAAAAGACAGGAAUUAGUUGUCACUUCAGAAAAUCAAACACCUGAACAUCAGAAGUCCUUGAACUGACAUGUUUAUAAAAACAAGAGGAAGAGGAAUGUGAGGAAGUUGUAGGUGAUGUAUAGUGAGGGCAUCUAUGCUGCCCUGUGGAUAAUAUCUAGAAUCUUAAAUCAAAAUCAUGAACAUAAAUAGAACAUAAAAUAAAUGAAAAAAAGAAUGCUUUUAAAAUACAAGAAGUAGAAUAGGUUGUGCUGAUAUUAUAUUUUUAAUAUUAAAUAAAUAAGGAAUAAUUGGCAAUGGGUCUUUGUGUUGUGGCCACAUUACCACCUCUGGUGUGCAUUAUUUUCUAAUUAUUCAGACCUGAGUCAAUUAUUCUGCUUAAGCUACAGUUACCACACAUCAAGACAUUGUUCAAAUGCA
rnacentral:lncRNA from 1 species